CGGAGCGGCCCUUCCGAUGCGGAGAGAGCCGGCGGCCGUGGUGCUCCUGCUCCGCCCGGGCCCCAUCCGACUCUCCGGUCUGGCGCCUCCUUGGCGCCGGCGGACGAAGUUCCCUUAAGCCCGUCCCGACGGCGGGGAGCGGCUGAGCAACUCGGAGCAAGGCUUCCAGGGCUGUGCCGGCAUGGCUUCGUCCUCCCAGGAGAGAAGGGAGUUCCUAGGGAAGACCUGCUGGGCUCUGGCCCAAAGACAUCCGAUUUGCCGCCUUCUUAUGGCUGCUCCUGCCUUGUGACCAAUUAAAACAUCCCGAAUUUUAGGUGGUAUGGUAUGAAUAUGCGUUGCUUGGCAGCUCGGGUGAACUAUAAGACUUUGAUUGUCAUCUGCAUUUUCUUCUCCUUGGUCACCAUCCUGCUGUGGAACCGGUGCACCAGUGGAAAAACAGCACCUCUCCCGCAUGACUCGAGCGGCAGCGUGAAAGCAGAUGGCACCGAGAAGCGAGUGGCUGCCUCGGAGAGCAGCCAGUGUGUGAACAGAGCAGCUAAGCCGCAGAGUGAGG